rnacentral:lncRNA from 1 species
AUGGUACCACCCCACAGCACUGCCCUAUGGAAUGACCCCAUAGAACGGCCCUGUGGCCCGGCCCUAUAUGACAGACUGUGGCCCUACAGCCAUGCCAUGGGGCGGAGCCAUGGGGCAGCGCUAUGGGGCAGGGCUAUGGGGCAGAGCCAUAGGGACAGUGCAAUGGGGCAGGGCUAUGGGGCAGCGCUAUGGGGAAGAGCCAUAGCAGUGAUGCCAUGGGGCAGCGCUAUGGGGCAGUGCUAUGGGGCAGAGGCAGAAUGGAGCAAUUCUAUGGGGCAGUUCUACGGGGCAGCCCUAUGGGGCAGCGCUAUGGGGAAGAGCUGUGGGGCAGCUCUAUGGGGCAGCUGUAUGGGGCAGUUUUAUGGGGCAACUCUAUGGGGUAGCCCUAUGGGGCAGCUGUAUGGGGCAGCUCUAUGGAGCUGUUCUAUGGGGCAGCCCUAUGGGGCAAUCCUAUGGGGCAGUCCUAUGGGGCAGAGGCAGAAUGGGGCGGUUCUAUGGGGCAGCUCUAUGGGGCAGCUCUAUGGGGCAGCCCUAUGGGGCGGCUCUAUGGGGUGGCUCUAUGGGGCAGUUCGAUGGGGCAGUUCUAUGGGGCGGCUGUAUGGGGCGGCUCUAUGGGGCAGAGGCAGAAUGUGGGCAGUGCUAUGGGGCAGCCCUAUGGGGCAGCUCUAUGGAGCAGUUCUAUGGGGCAGCCCUAUGGGGCGGCUGUAUGGGGUGGCUCUAUGGGGCAGCCCUAUGGGGCAGCUCUAUGGGGUGGUUCUUUGGGGCAGUUCUAUGGGGCAGUUCUAUGAGGCAGCUCUAUGGGGCAGCCCUAUGGAGUGGCGCUAUGGGGCAGCCCUAUGGGGCGGCUCUAUGGGGCAGCCCUAUGGGGCAGCUCUAUGGGACAGAGGCAGAAUGGGGCGGUUCCAUGGGGCAGCUCCAUGGGGCAGCCCUACGGGGCGGUGCUAUGGGGCAGCUCUAUGGGGCAGCCCUAUGGGGCAGAGGCAGAGGGGCGGCGCGGCGCCCCACACUCACCAGGCGUAA